UAUAUAUAUAUAUGUGCAUCACCCCUUAAAUCUCGCCCCCAUUUCUUUUUGUUUUUCUUUCCGCACUUUAAUUUGUGAAACGACGCCGUUUCUCACUCACCUUCCAAUCACCAUCGCCUGUUCAUUUUCCUUUCCAUAUAUUUUUCAAUUUUAAAUCUUCCUGCUUAACCUGCUUCUUUUUUAUUUUAUUUUUCAUUUUCUUUUGUUCUCUUUUUUCCCACAAUUGUUGACUGCCGACCGCCGCCAGUUCCUCCGACGACUCCGCAGCCCUCUCUCGACAGCGCGAGGCCCCUUUACAGGGCAAUCGAUGGCUGCUCCAACAGUAGUAAAUCAAUGGCUCCUCACUCUCCAACGAAAUUCUCCCUCUCAAUUCUCCCUCCGAACCCAAUCGGAAUCUCAAACUCUUCAUAGUGUACUACCACGGGGAGGGACUCGCCCGCCGGAUGAAGCGUCUGCGGCAUCGACGCCGUGCUCUACCGGGCGCCCCAUACCCUUCCCGAUGAAGUCCUCGCCAAAAUGCUGGCCCCACACAAGGACGAUUCAAUUCCCGUAAUCGGUUCUCCGGAGGAUUUGACCGGCGCCGAUGGGUUUCUCUUCGGGUUUCUGACGAGGUACGGGUCCAUGGCUGCGCAAAUGAAGCCUUUCUUUGAUUCGACUGUGCAGCUAUGGAGGGAGCAAAAACUCGCCCGGAAAACAAGCCAGAUUUUUCGUCGGCACCGGCACUCAAGGCGGCGACCAAUAGACCACUGCGUAAGGCCCUCUUACUGUUGUUGCUCUUAUUAUUUUCUUUGUUUUGAUACUCGAUAUAUGUUCUGUUUUAAUAUUAACGUUUGCUGUAAGAAUUAGCCGUUGAUUGAUUGAGUUUCCAUCGAUACAAAUGCAAGAAAUGCGUAUAUUGAGUUUCUUUAAAAUAUUUGCAAAUUAGUAAUGUGAAUUCUAAAUAAGAUGCACGAUUGAUGAUGGUGGGUUUUUUACUGGUCAACUUUUCUGAGUUUUCUGCUAAACUGAUUUCCGUAAUUCCUAGAGUAAAUUUCUUUCGGGGACUUAUUUACCAAAUAAGGGGAUAGCGUUUGAACGAAACAUGUAGGAAUCUUCGUUCGGUGACUACGGUCUAUCAUGGAAAAGCAAUCAAUCUAUAUGUUAUUAUGCAGCUUAUGUUGGCAAGAAAUUAUGAAUUUUAACGUAAAGAUCGAUGACUUUUAGUGUGAACAACGUGUUCGACUCGUAUGUUAUAUCUCGUUUUGAAACCAGUUAGCAAUAAAUAAUAAGUGGAGGUAUAAGAAUCUAAAACAGCUGUUAUGUUUUUAUCUCUAAUAUGCUGCAUCUUCUUAAUUUUAGCUUCAUCGACCCUAAUUAGUAGUAGAAUCACAAUUACGAACAUGUCAAAGUGCAUUAGAACUCGUGUUCGACGCAGCACGUACUGCAGAGUGCAUAGUCAUUGAAUAUUAGAUAUAUUAUGCCUUUACUUAUGCCGACUUCUUUAAUAUAACAAUGGAUUUAUGCCUUUUUACUUAUCUUUCUAUCUGCUCCGGCCCUUGCUAUAUGAUGACAUGCAUAAACUUUGUUGUUAGACUUUUGUUACUGAAUAUUUUCCAAUAAAUGCACCUGUUUGCAAUCAAUUUAAUGUUUUUGUUACUUUACAGGCCAUCUAUAUAUUAUGCCGACUAGGUAUAAACUUCCCUAACAUUUACAGGUUAUGUUUUGGCAUGUGACUGCUUCAGCGUGUGUUCUGUUAUUACAAAUUUUGUUUUUGUGGAAAUAGUAACAGAGGCCAUGUCUUGAAUAAGACUUUUCUAAGAGGUGCGUGUUUCCGUAUUUAGAACUCUAUUUUGCCUUAUAAUUUACAGAGAUAUUUUGCAUUUUGCCUCUCUUGUUAUGUGCCUCAUGCCCUCUUACGUGACGGAAUGAGACUGACGGACAAACCUCCUUAACAUUUUUCAGACAGGCUAUAGUGUGUUAAUGCUUCAAAGCAUAUUCUGCUAUUGCACUUUUUUUUUUUGAAGAAAUGAUAACGCUCCAACUGCUAAGAGUAAUUUCCACAGAGGUGUGUUGCCCGCGUAUUUUGAAAUAGUCAGGUUGAUCAUCAUACUCCCGAGAAGAAGCUCGUAGCAAGCUACUUUUUCAAUAGAGGUUGUGAGAAGAAAUGAACUGGAUUCUUUAUCCAUUAAUAUUGCUUCUGGACAACAUCCUUGGGGAAGAUAGACAUUAAACAUGAGACCGUUUCCACUAAAUGCAAAUCACCGGAACUUGGAAAAAAGAUAGAGAAUAUUGAAGCGUGCAAUACAUCAGAACUUACAUCACCCAAAAGACAUUGCACGGUUACAUAUCACCGUGCAGCCAAUCUCUGGAAAUAAGUCAACAGUAGCAAUGAUUUCGGUAAUAAUUUUGUGUCGACCAGCUUCUAAUGUAGUAUGUAUACAAAUUUUGUUUGACGCAAACAAUUUGCCUCAUUAUUUUGUGACUUUUGUACUUAAUAACUAUGAGGUAAUUUGCAUCUUUAUCAUUAUUGCAGCUGUAAAUAUCCAUCCAUAUUCUAAGGCUUAUGAAAAUGACUCUUGGUCAUCAACUUUUUUGUUUUCGGUGUUAAAGAAAAGGGGGAGAGGGGGUCAGGUGAUUUACAA